AUUGAACGCUGGCGGCAUGCCUUACACAUGCAAGUCGAACGGCAGCACGGGAGCAAUCCUGGUGGCGAGUGGCGAACGGGUGAGUAAUAUAUCGGAACGUGCCCAGUCGUGGGGAUAAUGUAGCGAAAGCUACGCUAAUACCGCAUACGAUCUACGGAUGAAAGCGGGGGAUCGCAAGACCUCGCGCGAUUGGAGCGGCCGAUAUCAGAUUAGGUAGUUGGUGAGGUAAAGGCUCACCAAGCCGACGAUCUGUAGCUGGUCUGAGAGGACGACCAGCCACACUGGGACUGAGACACGGCCCAGACUCCUACGGGAGGCAGCAGUGGGGAAUUUUGGACAAUGGGCGCAAGCCUGAUCCAGCAAUGCCGCGUGCAGGAUGAAGGCCUCGG
rnacentral:rRNA from 1 species